GGGAAUGGAGGUAACUUGUGAAAAAUCUGGAUCACAUACUUAAAGGGAAGAUAGAAACCACCCCUUUUUCUAUUCUGCCUUCCUUUGGACUGGACUUUAAACUUAAUAGUAGACACUGAUGGCUCAAACUUGUACCAUGAGAUGUAAGUCAUGUUUUGAGAAUGGCAAAGCAAUAAAAUUACAAGAAGUAUGGGUCCCUUACACUGUUUAAUUGCCACACUUACAUUAGAUCACCUACUUUGACUUUUAUACAAAGAGAAAUAAACUUACAUUUUAUUUAUAUCACUUUCUUUCUGUUCUCUUUGUUAUAGCAACAUAAUCUGUUUCCUAACUAAUAUACAAAGAAAGCCAGAAGCCAGUGAAAAAAUACAUUUAAAUGAUUAAGAGAAAAGAAGCAAUGGAUCCUAAAAUAAGCUAAAAUAUUAUUCAUCUGAUGAGGAAAAUGAAAAAAAUGUGUACAUACACAGCAUGAGAUAGAGAUCCAUUUAUAUAUUGAUUUGAGGAAAAUAUUUAAGAAAGUGCCCUAAACAAAUGAAAAUAGAAUUUUAACAGUGUUCUCAAGUGAGACUAUGAUGAAAUGUAUAAGAAAAGAGUAGUUGGCAAUUAAUUUUGUAAUGUAUGUGUGUACAUACAUAUAUAUACAUAUGUGUGUGUGUGUAUAUAUAUAGACAUAUACAAUUAAUGUUAAGUGGGUAACGACACUGCAUUGUUAAGAAAUAUUUAUGUUAAUUAAAGAUUAUUGAAACAUGACCAUGAUAGGGGAAAAUCAUAAUGAUUACCUGGAAUUCAAAUGUCUAAACAUCUUUGCAAACACUGUAGUAGUAAUUAUUUUUGUUGUUCUUGUUAUUGGUGGUUAUGGAGGAGGCUGACUGGAGUUUGUGUCAGGGUGCAGAGGAACAUGAAUCUUGGCUAGUAAGGAAGUUGAAGUGAGCAAAGGUCUCAAUUUAGCCCAGGGGUAGGCAGAGAGUUGUAGGCAAGUAAAGCAUCUUGGUAAGAAUAUGUAGUUAUUUAAUAUCAAUUAGUAGUAAUAGAGAAAUUUAAGGUUGUGAGAGAUGAGAAUGAAACCAUUCUUAAAACUGAUAAGGCUUGCAUAAUUUUCAAAAUAACAAUGUGUAAUUGGAAAUUAAUGAAAUCUGACAAAAACAGAAAAAUUAAGGAAAAGGGGAAAAAUGAGUAAGCCAGAGAAAGUUAGGAAGUGGGGAAAGAGGAAAUGUCAAAAAAAAUAUGUAAUCAAUAUUAAGUAAGAUAAAAGAAUUAACAAAGUCUCAGUUACCAAAAUAAAUGAGACAAACUGAAUUCUCCAAGCAAUGAGAAUCUGUAAUAUUAAAGAGACAAAAUAUGCUGCUUAUAAGAAACAUAUCUAAAAAAAUGGUGAAAAGGACAAUUUAAAAAUAAAGAUGGUUAGACAAAAAUACCCUGAGUAAAUCCAUAUUAAAGGAGAGGUAAUGUUAUUAUUGGGGAAAAAAUGGAGUUAAAGGACAAAAGCAUUAUAUAGGACAAAGAACUAUAAUAUUACUCUGGCUAUCUAUUGCUAUAUAACAAGCCACCCCAAAAUUUAGUGGUUUUAAACAACCAUUUUAUUAUAUCUCAUGAUUUUCUUGGCAAGGAAUUUGGAAAGGACUUAGCUGGGUGAUUAGUCUCUGAGCUUCCUGAUGUCUGUGUAGAGGAGGAAGACAUUUCCUCUACCUUUUCUGGGUUCGUCUGGCCAGAGAACAAAUUAAAUUCACAUGAGACAGAAUUGCAGAAGAAAAUUAAACAAAGCUUUAUAACAUGUAUACAUGGGAGAGGUCAGGCAAGCUGAGCGACUCAUCAAAAUGGCUGAAGCCCCCAUCUUAAGUAUCAUCUCAGCUAACGACAAAGGAGGAUGUUGGGGGUGGGGGCAGUCAGUUACAGGAGGUUACCAGAAACAGGAAUAAGAUUAUUAUGCAGAUUUAAGUCCUUGCCUUUGGCAUUGAUUAAGAGUUUCUAGAGAGAAGAUCAUCCCCUUUCUUCUUCCUGGUACGGAGAGGGAGGCACCUUUACAGAUGGAGAUUUCCUUUACAAUGUAAAUGUCUCCUAACAAAGGGCAAGCAAGUUCCACCCCUCAGAGCCUCCUUCCCUGUCCCAGUUUAUCAAAAGCAAUCAGCCUCAAAUAGCCCUCAUGUCAAAGAGACAUAUCUUGGUGUGGCGAAGACCAGUCCCCCACAGUCCCACCUUUGAAACUAAAAGUUUCACAGUCCGUUGUAACUUUAAGAAGUUUUAUAGUCCAGAAGCUGAGUGGUAGAUUGUUUCAUGUCGCUGAGCACAUUUCUUAGUCCUGGUAAUAGAUCAGUCCAGUUAAACCCAUUUUAGAAGGUGGUGAUGCAGGUGUGUUUAAUAAGUAUUUCUAUGGAAAUAAAAAGAAAAACAAGGUUAAUGGCUGGAGCAAAUUAUAAACUAGUUCCUGAGUCUGGGAGGCAGCCAGUCAAGAAGACUUCCAGAUGUUAGAGUCAAAGCAUCUUUUGCAGCUUGAAAUGUCUCUGAUGAUGUCAUCAGGCAUUCAGGUAUUUUUCUGAGUGGCUUACAGCUUACAAAGCAACAGACAGGAAUCUCUCAAGUUUCUAUCAAGUUGUCCAGCUUUAGUUAGCAAGGCUUCAGGAAAAAGAGCGGGCUCAAUUCUCAAUGAUUCCAAAUGAAAAUGAGGUUAAAAAUUGAAAACAUUAGUUUGGAGAUUUGUAACCAGGUAUUUCAGUAGAAGAAUUCAGGAUCCAAUCCAGUUCACAGAUAGAAAAAAGACCUCAAAGACAACUAACAGAACUAGGAUCUCAUAUCCACAAAUGUGUAUUAUAGUUUUUCACUGAAACAUAAUUCUUCUCUCUAAAAUCACCCUCAUUUUUACCAAAGAUAGCCAAAUUGAGACUAAUUGGUUUGCAAUAUAAGUUUAGUUUCAAGAAACUUGGCCCAAUUAUUUACAUAAGUGCAGCAAGAAUAGCAAUUGAUCCUAUAGGCUCUUAAAUUUUCUUUCUGGAAUGUUUUUAUGAGGAAUCUCAGAUUGAACCUUAAAGAAUUCCCGAGGCCAGGAAAGCCAAGCCAAGGAUUUGUGCCAUCAGGCCUUGCCUGCAGUACCUUAGAUUUGGGUGGAUUUCUCUCUUGAGUUUCCCCAGAAUAUUUUGAGGUUCCUUGCACCUGCCAGAUAAGCAAUCUUCCUUACUUACCAGG
ensembl:lncRNA